AAUAACUUCAUUUUUCGUUUUUCCGUGUCUAACGUUUGAUCAUUCGUUUUAUUUAAAAAAUUUAUGCAAAAACCUAAAAAAAUUAGUCACAUAUAAAAUACUAUUCAUAUUUUAUCAUCUAGUAAUAAUAAAAAUAUUAAUCGUAAAAAAAUUUCAAAUAAGACCAAUGGUCAAACGUUGGACACGGAAAAAC
rnacentral:pre_miRNA from 1 species